GAUGAACGCUAGCGGCAGGCUUAAUACAUGCAAGUCGAGGGACAGCACAGGUAGCAAUACUGGGUGGUAACCGGCAAACGGGUGCGGAACACGUACACAACCUUCCUUUAAGUGGGGGAUAGCCCAGAGAAAUUUGGAUCAAUACCCCGUAAUAUAGUUGAAUGGCAUCAUUUGAUUAUUAUAGCUACGGCGCUUAAUGAUGGGUGUGCGGCUGAUUAGAUAGUUGGCGGGGUAACGGCCCACCAAGUCUAAGAUCAGUAGCUGAUGUGAGAGCAUGAUCAGCCACACGGGCACUGAGACACGGGCCCGACUCCUACGGGAGGCAGCAGUAAGGAAUAUUGGUCAAUGGACGCAAGACUGAACCAGCCAUGCCGCGUGAAGGAUUAAGGUCCUCUGGAUUGUAAACUUCUUUUAUUUGGGACGAAAAAGGGCCUUUUUAGGUCAACUGACGGUACCAGAUGAAUAAGCACCGGCUAACUCCGUGCCAGCCGCCGCAGUAAAAC
rnacentral:rRNA from 1 species